rnacentral:piRNA from 1 species
UAUCUUUCUGAAAUGGAGAUACAAAGACAA